AUGGAACAGGGCUUGUCUUUAUGACUUACAGAAUCCACUGAAAUCUCUGUGGACAUUGCCAACCUUGGGGGAACUUCUCCAAGCCUCUUGUCACUCCAGCACCUUCCACCUCUUCCCCUCUGAAGACCUCAGACUCUGUCCUACGCCCCUAAAGAAAUAUCUCCCACAGUCCCCAACACGACGAGGCAAGAGAGCCAAAACUUGGGAUGGCAAAGAGGGGAAAAAAACAACAGGGAGAACAGCAACGCGAAAAACACAAAUUACUCUCUCGGUAAAUCAUCCUGUAAAACAGUAGCACACGUACGAGGUCAAGCUUCAAGGAAUGGAAAUAAUUGUCACUGAUGCUAGAGGCUGGACUUGGGACUACAGAAUUGUCGCUAGCACUGUACAAUGGCUUUGGGUGGGGCCCAUUCACGUGUUUCCUUUGUUUUAUCCACCCACUCUCCCCUGGUGGCCGCCCUGCUGGUCUGGAUGUGCGCUCUGGGAGCAGAGGGCCCUUGCUGGGAGCUCACUCACUGGACCAUGCCUAGGUCUUUGCUAGCAUGGCGUGGUGCCAUGUCCACACCCAGGAUCCGAACUGACAAACCCCGGGCCGUGGAGAAGCAGAAUGUGCGCACUUAACCACUGCGCCACUGGGCUGGCCCUGCAGGAGGCAUGUAAAUGGGAUGGUCGACAGCCAAGAGGAGAGCCAGCGCUUAAUGAAGGCGCAGUCUGUGUCGCAUGAUCUCAUCAGACCUCGCAGAAACCUCUGAAGUAGGCAUUGUCAGGUUUACAGAUGAGGAAACUGAGGCUCGGUGAUGUGUUGGCUUUGUGCCCAAGUUCACGCCGCUGAGAAGACACAGAGCUGGACGCUCCUCCUCAGUCCCUGGAGGCUGGUCUCUGCAAUCCAGCAGCCCAGGCGGUUCCCACCCCUCCCUGUGGCCUCCUCGGAAGGUACUGUUCCCCAGCCUGGCAGCAGGUGGGGACAGAACACCACUGGCCCCGCUCAAUUACCUUUGAAGUGUUCCCAGCCCAUGAGGAGGAUACCUGGGUGAGGAGACCAGGUGUCUGCAAGGCUUGGAGGAGACAGUGGCCCCAGGAACCAGCUAAGGUGGGUAAGGGCAGGUCAGCUGGCCAGGUAAACAUCAGGGCCGGCAAAUGUACUUCCUGGCAGAGGGGCCAGCCCAGGAGAGGAAAGGGGCUUUCACCAAGGUGGCCAGUCUGGCACUGUUACCUUGGGCUCACAGUAGAAAUGGAAGCAACACUGCGUUUCUUCUUGGCUCUUUUUAAAGGUUAUGCCAUUUUCCAGUUUUCAGGGGAGAAUCGUCCAGGAGGAUCAUGGUUCCGGUUGAUUCUAUAAAUAAAGAGGAAGGUACUAAGUAUUUUUGGUCACUACUGAGAGACCACAAGAUGACUAGGAAAAGAUUCAGCGUUGACAAGACGCAUGUAGGAAUUUCACAAUGCUUCUCCGCCUCUGUGAAUCUUGCAAAUAUUAAUUUAAUCUGCUGGGUAAAUUGGUAAUAAAAUUCUCUUUGUAUUAAGGAAGUGGUGAAGUUAAUAGGCUGUAAACCAGAAUAAUUCUUGGGUGGUUUUAUGGCAGCGCAUGCCAGCACCUCUAAUUGUACUGUGAAGGACUGAGUUACUUUGCCACCUCUUGUGACUGGAAUAGCAUUAUCGUUGACUCAUGUGGCAUGCCCAGCCCUGAGACGCGCCCUGGCCCAAAGUAGUUGUUCAAUAAAUACCAUUGUGAUAAGUCUAACAUUCAGUCUACACAGCACGAAAUGAAAAUUGAGAGGCUACAGUUAAGCUGAGAUUAUCUCGACUGAUGAAUCUUUUUUAUUCCGUGGAUCAGGAAUAGGUCUAGAAACUUCUUCCUGGGUGCCCUAAAGCAGAGAUCCUAGAAAGC
ensembl:lncRNA